rnacentral:lncRNA from 1 species
GAUCUUGAACUCUUCAAUGCUUGGCUAAACCCUUAAGCACUCCACAAAACCUUCUUCCACCACUUUUAUGGAUAUUGGAAUGAAUUGUUCUCAUCUGCCCAUUCCAAGAGAGGAAGUCUUUACAUCCCCCUAACUCACUGACAGUCCCAGUGUGGAAGCCUGCUAUGAGUCAAACUUCCUGUGUCUUGUUCCCACUCUACUGGGAGAGGAGUAAAGUGAGGUCUAGAGAAAACAAGUGCCUGCAGGGAUGCCCUGACUGGAAGCUGGGAGGUCAAAGAUUCUCAUAAAAGAUGCCUCUGAGGGGCUAAGCCUGGAGCUGGAGACAUAGGGAAGGUAUGAUAGAGAAUCACUCUGACUGUCCUAGGGGGCGGUCCUCAUAAAAGGUGGUGAGGGCUGAGGGGAGAAAAAGGGACCAGACAGUAGAUUGAGGGCUGGCCCUCAGAUAGGGAAUAGAAGACAUUUAGCAAAGGUAUCCCAAUGAGGGCAAAAUCUGGGGCUAAUGUAAAAGAACAGGUCAGCUAAUUCUUGCAUCACAACAUAGGGGGAAGAGACAAAGCUGAGUAACCCCUUCACCCAAAGUCACUUCACCCUGUUGGCCUCAGUUUCCUUAUCUGUCAGAUGAGAUGGAGAAGGAAAUGACAAACCACUCUAGUAACUCUGCCUAGAAAACCCCAAAAGGGGUCAUGAAAUGUCGAAUAUGACUAAAUGACAACAAAAAGGAUCUUUACUCUUCUUGCCUAAGGUUACACAGCUAAAUUUGAGGCCAGAUUUGAACUCAGGUCUUCCUGACUCCAAGCUCUGUACACUAGCUGCCCUAGUAAACAU